ACAAAUAUAGAUUAAUUGGUAAAUCAGCUGCCUUCCAAGCAGUAGUUAUGGGUUCGAUUCCCAUUAUUUGUA